UACGUAGGUGGCAAGCGUUGUCCGGAUUUACUGGGCGUAAAGAGCGGGCAGGCGGCUGGUCAAGUCCGAUGUGAAAUCUCCCGGCUUAACUGGGAAACUGCAUCGGAAACUGAUCGGCUUGAAGGUGGGAGAGGGUAGUGGAAUUCCCGGUGUAGUGGUGAAAUGCGUAGAUAUCGGGAGGAACACCAGUGGCGAAGGCGACUACCUGGCCCAUUCUUGACGCUGAGGCGCGAAAGCUAGGGGAGCGAACGGG
rnacentral:rRNA from 1 species